GACGAACGCUGGCGGCGUGCUUAACACAUGCAAGUCGAACGGAGUGGCGAACGGGUGAGUAACACGUGGGUGACCUGCCCUGCACUUCGGGAUAAGCCUGGGCAACUGGGUCUACUACCGGCGAGUGUGGGAUGGGCGCGCGGGCUAUCGGCUUGUUGGUGGGGUAAUGGCCUACCAAGUGGGAGGCGGGUAGCCGGCCUGGGAGGUUGGACGGCCACAAGGGGACUGCGAGAGGGACCAGAGGGCAAUGGGGGGCAGCAGGGGAGAAUAUUGCCCAAUGGGGGGGAGCGUGAUGAGGCGGUGCCGGGAGGGGGAUGACGGCUUAGGUGGUGGAAACGCCUUUAACCAUCGACGCGGUAGAUGGAGAAGAAGCACCGGCUAACUACGUGCCAGCAGCCGCGGUAAUAC
rnacentral:rRNA from 1 species